rnacentral:rRNA from 4 species
UGCAAGUCGAGCGGGGAAGAGUAGCUUGCUACUUUACCUAGCGGCGGACGGGUGAGUAAUGCUUAGGAAUCUGCCUAUUAGUGGGGGACAACAUCUCGAAAGGGAUGCUAAUACCGCAUACGUCCUACGGGAGAAAGCAGGGGACCUUCGGGCCUUGCGCUAAUAGAUGAGCCUAAGUCGGAUUAGCUAGUUGGUGGGGUAAAGGCCUACCAAGGCGACGAUCUGUAGCGGGUCUGAGAGGAUGAUCCGCCACACUGGGACUGAGACACGGCCCAGACUCCUACGGGAGGCAGCAGUGGGGAAUAUUGGACAAUGGGGGGAACCCUGAUCCAGCCAUGCCGCGUGUGUGAAGAAGGCCUUUUGGUUGUAAAGCACUUUAAGCGAGGAGGAGGCUACCGAGAUUAAUACUCUUGGAUAGUGGACGUUACUCGCAGAAUAAGCACCGGCUAACUCUGUGCCAGCAGCCGCGGUAAUACAGAGGGUGCAAGCGUUAAUCGGAUUUACUGGGCGUAAAGCGCGCGUAGGUGGCCAAUUAAGUCAAAUGUGAAAUCCCCGAGCUUAACUUGGGAAUUGCAUUCGAUACUGGUUGGCUAGAGUAUGGGAGAGGAUGGUAGAAUUCCAGGUGUAGCGGUGAAAUGCGUAGAGAUCUGGAGGAAUACCGAUGGCGAAGGCAGCCAUCUGGCCUAAUACUGACACUGAGGUGCGAAAGCAUGGGGAGCAAACAGGAUUAGAUACCCUGGUAGUCCAUGCCGUAAACGAUGUCUACUA